rnacentral:misc_RNA from 1 species
GUAGGUGAACCUGCGGAGGGAUCAUUAACACGUAUCCACGUAUCAACCAACCGCGAACUCGGGACUAACCCUCCCAACCCCGUCCUACUUUCAGAUAGCUGUGAAGAGAAAUUGUGUAGUGGGUAUUGGACUGCAUGGAAAGAGAGAGUAUCUGCACCGGCGUGAAUUUUGUCGCGAAAGUUCGGCAUUAGAAUCCCACUGCGAGAAACCUUUCUGUGUAGUUCGGUACGAUUUCUCAAGCACUUGAGGG